rnacentral:lncRNA from 1 species
UUUUUGUUAUACAGAGGAUAAGUUUAACCAUGAAUCAACAUCUUCCAUACAUUUGCAACCAUAUUACACAAAAAAACAAGUGACAAACAUAUUUCUCAUUAUGUCUAAAUAUUCUUCAUGCUUUACUACCCACCUUUACACCCUUACAAAAAUUAUCUAGUGUCACUUUGUUAAUUAGAACUCUAGACCCGUUUUUGAAUUGGGUCACGAAUGGUAUUCGAUUUCUUUUAACAGCAAAAAAGCAUUCGAACUUGGGAGAUGCAAAAAAGAAUAAGGUUCUUUUUUAUAUUCCUUCUUCAAGAUAGUANGCACAGGUGAGAACAUCCCUAAUCGAAUGGCCUAGCUUUGCUUCUUUCUCUUUCUCUGCUUCGGUUUACCAAAGGGGGUGAGGUCGACCUUCUUUAGGUGGUACCUUUUCUGUCUAACUCGUUCUCUUGGUCAAAACAACUACUCCUUAGUGGCCAAUAAGAAUCAGAAUCGCCCGGGAUGAGUGAGAGCUAAAAGAAAAGCCUAGCGGCAAUUCCCGAUCUUCUCUUGAUAACACUUUAAUUUUUCAAAAUAAUCUUAUUUAGAAUUAUGUUGUCCUACAUUUCUAAAUUGUGUUAUAUGCUCAUUUAUAUAUGUUUUACUUCUUC